rnacentral:rRNA from 1 species
UACGUAGGGUGCGAGCGUUGCCCGGAUUUAUUGGGCGUAAAGGGCGCGUAGGCGGCUACGCACGUCCGUUGUGAAAUCGCUCGGCUCAACUGGGCGGGGUCAGCGGAUACGGCGUGGCUGGAGCAAGCUAGGGGGCAAUGGAAUUCCCGGUGUAGUGGUGGAAUGCGUAGAUAUCGGGAGGAACACCAGUGGCGAAGGCGGUUGCCUGGAGCUUUGCUGACGCUGAUGCGCGAAAGCGUGGGGAGCGAUCCGG